CCAGCAGCCGCGGUAAUUCCAGCUCCAAUAGCGUAUAUUAAAGUUGUUGCAGUUAAAAAGCUCGUGGUUGGAUUUCUGGCAGGAGCGACCGGUCUCACACUCUGUGUGAGAACUUGUGUUGUCUCUGGCCAUCCUUGGGGAGAUCCUGUUUGGCAUUAAGUUGUCGGGCAGGGGAUACCCAUCGUUUACUGUGAAAAAAUUAGAGUGUUCAAGGCAGGCUAUCGCCCUGAAUAUACAAGCAUGGAAUAAUGGAAUAGGUCUGGGUCUAUUUUGUUGGUUUAUAGAACCAGAAAUGAUUAAUAGGGACAGUUGGGGCCAUUAGUAUUUAAUUGUCAGAGGUGAAAUUCUUGGAUUUAUUAAAGACUGACUUAUGCGAAAGCAUUUGGCAAGGAUGUUUUCAUUGAUCAAGAACGAAAGU
rnacentral:rRNA from 1 species